UACUACGAAACGCCAAGGAUACUGUCGA
rnacentral:piRNA from 1 species